GAAACCCAAAAGAUCGAAUGGGGAGAUUCAUCGUCAGCUCACUUUGUAUAUAUGCAUAUUGUGAUAUGGGUUACUACUUGUAGUAUUGCCUGUACAUUUUUGUAUAUUUAUUUGCAAAGUGUUGUCGGCGUGCACUUCUCCCCUAGUAGGACGUCGCGACCCGUUGAGUGUCUGUCUACGGCCCAAGUGGUAGAUUUUAAUGAAUUUUAUUUAUUGAAAACCCUUGGUAUCACCUGACUGGCAUUCGUCGGUAUUCGUAUGGUAUUGAGCCGCACAUUAUAUGCGUCCCUAUCCGUCGCAAGCGAGGUUAGUUUACUGAUAGCGCGGACCUAGUGCCGUCGUUAGUACUAAUCAGCUGUUGGUUGUAUGGAAUUCUGGGACUGGCUCGUUGAAAUACCGGUCAGCGACGCUACUGCUUUGGGUACUUUCAGGACCCGUCUUGAAACACGGACCAAA
rnacentral:rRNA from 1 species